rnacentral:rRNA from 1 species
UACGGAGGGAGCUAGCGUUGUUCGGAAUUACUGGGCGUAAAGCGCACGUAGGCGGCUUUGUAAGUUAGAGGUGAAAGCCCGGGGCUCAACCCCCGGAAUUGCCUUUUAAGACUGCAUCGCUUGAAUCCGGGAGAGGUGAGUGGAAUUCCGAGUGUAGAGGUGAAAUUCGUAGAUAUUCGGAAGAACACCAGUGGCGAAGGCGGCUCACUGGACCGGCAUUGACGCUGAGGUGCGAAAGCGUGGGGAGCGAACAGG